rnacentral:lncRNA from 10 species
GCGAAGGCGAUAGGCGUCUCAGACUUGAAGACGCCUCUCCAGCAGAACUCCCUCAUUGGUCGGCAAGAGAAAACAAAGCUGGGCUCUGAUUGGUGACAGCUCUGUAGCUCCUCCUCAUACCCGCAGUCCCCGCAAGUUCCACCCCUGCCCGCCCGGUUCGCUCGCCCUUGGUUCCCACUCCCAGGUGGCUGCAGACUGGAGUGUGUUUCAUGGACGAGCAACCUCCCUGAGGAGAACCCCGGAUACGCAGGUUCAUUCGCCAGAUGCGAGUUUUCUUAAGCCGCUGCGAUUCUCUGAUUUCAGUAUGAACUUGGUGAAUAACGUAAUCUUUAACUUCCUUUGGAUUCAGACAAGUCUCCUAGGUUUAAAAAUGCUGCAUAAGAUUGAGAGGGAUAUUGUUAUGCACGAAAAAAGACAUAAGGUGUUUUCACCUUUGGCGACACUAGUCACCAGUAAAAUGAGCAUUCAUUCAUUAAGCCAAUCAUCAGGAAUGGAUCUAGGAAGAACCUACUGUUUACUAGAAAUAGGUUAGAUCUGUGGAUAUAACAAUGAAUAAGACAAGACUGGUGGAUCUAUAGAGAAACUAUUACUGCACAGGUGAUGGGGAAAUCAAGAGUACUAUGGGGCCAAGGAGACUGUCCUGCAGCAAAUGAGGAAUAAGCUGAAACAUCAGUAGGAGCCAUCCCAGAGAAAAGGGACAGGGUUCUAGAUCCAGAGAACAACAGAAGAGCAUUCAGCGCCUGCAAGGGAGCAGGGGAUCUAAUGCAAAGCCAUUGCAUAACCAGUCAACUUUCCCCACAUCACAAGAUUGCCUAGCCUGGAUGGCCCCAGAAUGUUGAAACAAAUGUCUAAUUAGUAACGACAUUCUGAAUGCUUGGGAGCUGAGCAAAAUAUGAGGAGAAGCAACCUGAUUUUUGUUUCAUAUUAUCAUCUCCUUUAUUCCAGCAACAAAAGACACUGAAAAUAGUAAAUGCCCACUUUCAACCAUGACAGCCCUUUUAGGAUAGUAACGGUGAGCAGUAUUAAUCCUAUUUGACCAGAACUAGGGCAGAAUUGAAGCCCCUGGAGUAGAGAUCUGUUCUAUUAGCCCCAGCCUUUCCGCCUGCUUCUUGGGAUGGCUAUCUUUACUUUAUCAGUUGAGCCUCCAGCAUUAGCAGAUACCUAUAAGGGAAGAGAUCCAGCCCUCACUAUGGAGGGCCAGAAAGAGAAAGCACCAGACAUUAGGAAAUGUCAAAGUAUCUCAGUACAUCCAGCUGAUUAGUGACAGAUAAGUCAAAAUUUGCAGCAACUAAAUAAAUCAAAAAGUAGAUUUUAAAAUGUGAUCUUUGAAAUAUUUGGCACAAUGCUUCAAAGCCACUGAAAAGCUAUCUCUUCACCCUAAUAGAGGACAGAAAUUCAUUAGAUAGACAGAAGAGGCUGCAUACAGUAGCCCAUGCCCAUAAUCUCAACAACUUUGGAGGCCAAGGUGGAAAGAUUACUUGAGGCCAGGAAAUCAACACCAGCCUGAGCAACAUAGCAAGACAUCUUUACAAAAAAUUUAAAAAUUAGCCAGGUUUGGUGGUGUGCAGCUGUAGUCCUAGCUACUCGGGAGGCUGAGGUGGGAGGAUUGCUUGAGGCCAGGAGUUCUAGGCUGCAGUGAACAGAGAUUUUGCCACUGCGUUCCAGCCUGGGCAACAGAGUAAGACCCUGUCUCUAAAAUAGAUGAUAGAUAGAUAGAGAGAGAGAGAGAGAUGAUAGAUAAUAGAUAGUUGAUAGAUAGAUGAUAGAUAAUAGAUAGUUGAUAGAUAGAUAAUAGAUCGUUGAUUGAUAGAUUAGAUAGAUGUAUAAUAGAACCCAAAGGCAAAAAUAAGUUAGUCCUCAGGAAGACCCAGAUCGCAGACCUGAAAAGCCAGGAGGAACUCAAUGGAAUUUUUUUCCAUAGCAGGUGCUCUCUCUACACCUGUGCUCUAUUCUCCUAUUCUGAUAACCAGCCCCUGGCUCCUAUGUCCCAGUGUCAGAGAAAUGAUGUUCCAGAGCUGCACCCACAAGGACUAAAUCACCUGCCUAACCCUAACCCUAAUCAUAGAUGAUGGGGGCUGCAGGGGACCAGUAUGGCUGCCAGGGCCCAUCCCUGUUUAUGAGCAGAGGUUUCCCAGAGAAGACACACUGGGCAGAUUACCAGACACGCAUUCAUUGCACCCCUGACAUUUUCAAUCGCCAGUCAAUGAGGCUUCCUUUCUAGUUACUGAAAGUCUUCACCUGCUGUUUAUAGUAAACUGGAGACCUAGAGGCCAAGGCCGAAGGCUUGGAUGGUAAUUUCCCACAUUCUCUGGAAAUCUUUCUACUUCAGUUGGCUUCCAGACACCCAGUACCCUUGUGUGUUCCAGUUUCAAGUUGCCAUUCUUGUUCAGGUCUUCUAGUAAUUUCCUGUUUCCCUAUCUGAAGUGUACCUCCUGACAUCAAUGUAUUCAAAGAGCAAAUGCUCCUGCCAAAUCUAUGAGUGUCAGUGAACUAGCCUGCUGCUCUGGGCUCAGAUGAGACCAGCUUGCAGAACAAGCAGGACAGAGGCGUGAAGGGAAGCAGAUGGCAAACCUCGAUCUGCCACCAUCCCUUCCACAGGCAUUCCGUAUGAGGACAUCUGUCCCCACCCCUGGAUGAAAACUUGGGUGAUCCCGAAAUUUUUCUGAUUGCUCACAGAAUUGGUUCCUUCCAGCAGGUUUACGGUCUGGCUGACUUCAAGAAUGGAGAUGGUCCUUAUUAACAGCUCUUAAAGAUGGCACGGACACAAAGAGUGAGCAGCAGCAAGAUUUAUUGUGAAGAGCGAAAGAACAAAGCUUCCACAGCGUGAAAGGGUACCUGAGCUGAUUGUCGCUGCUGGCUGGGAUGGCCAGCCUUUAUUCCCUUUUUUGUCCCCUCGCAUGUUCUGUUUCUGUCCUAUCAGAGUGCCCUUUUUUCAGUCCUCCCCACGAUUGGCUACUUUUAGACUCCUGCUGAUUGGUUGUGUUUUACAGAGCACUGAUUGGUGCAUUUUACAGAGUGCUGAUUGGUGUGUUUUACAGAGCACUGAUUCGUGCAUUUUACAAUCCUCUUGCUAGCUACAGAGCGCUAAUUGGUGCAUUUUACAAUCCUAGCUACAGGGUGCUGAUUGGUGCGUUUUACAAUCCUCCUGUAAGACAAAAGUUCUCCAAGUUGAUCCAGGAAGUCCAGCUGGCUUCACCUCUCAGCAUGAUUAUAAAUUGAGAACACUUCUACCUUGUACCAAAAAAACCAGUCUCAACACUUUUUAGCCAUACUCAUUAAGAACAAAAUACGUGAACACUUUGUAACACGUAUAAUUGGAAUAAGCAUUUUAUAUUCAGAAAGAAGGCCAGUGAUGGAAACGUUGAGAAAAAAAUACAUAGUGAGAUGAGUCAUUCAGAAUUUAGAUUUAAUUAAGCUCAGUCAUCUUUGUACUUACCAUGUUGAUCUCCCAAGGGAGCAUCGCAAGCAAAGUGACUCUUGCACCACUUAUGUUAUCCUAGAAACUAUGCCAGCAUUAAUUAAUUUGUGCUGACCUGGAAAGCAGAAGCUUCCUUAUCUCGCCACUUGAAAACUAAGUAACUCCUUGUUCCACGUUGAAGAUUAGGAAACUUGCAAGGAUGAGCUACAGCAACAUAGAAAACAGCACCCCCACAGCAGGAGGGGCAGUUUGAGGAUGUGCACACAGAGGGGAUGUUUCCAGGACCCAGGCUUCACUUCCAGCAAAGAUGUUACUUUAGAAGAUGGGACUCUUUCACUUAAUUGUGUCUAUUUUCUUAACUCACAGCUUUCUCCUGUCUAGCACCUUUAUCCAAAAAUUCCCUGUCCCUGGUAUAUGAGCAGAAAACAAAGGAACUUAAUAGUUAACUCUCUGAUACAUAUGAGUGCAAAUUCUACAAUUAAAAAAAUAAAGCCAGGCUGGGUCUGAUGGCUUAUGCCUGUAAUCCCAGCACUUUGGGAGGCCGAGGCAGGAAGAUCACUUGAGGUCAGGAGUUGGAGACCAGCCUGAUCAACAUGGUGAAACCCCGUUUCUACAAAUAAUACAAAAAUUAGCUGGGCGUGGUGACACACACCUGUAAUCCCAGCUACUCAGGAAGCUGAGGCAGGAGAAUCUCUUGAACCUGGGAGGCAGAUGUUGCAGUGAGCCUAGAUUACACCACUGCACUCCAGACUGGGCGACAGAGCAAGACUCUGUCUCAGAAAGAUAAAAUAAAAAAAAAGGAAACAAAAAGACAGAGAUAUCCUAAAUAGUGACAAAUUUAAGAAUGUAAGAUAUACAUAAUAUAGCUGAAGAAUUGACUAAAGAGGUUAAUAUCCCCGCAGAGAAGAACGAUUUAUGAAAUUUAUAAUUUAAGGCUCUAAUUAUGCUCUGUAAACAACCAAAUAAUAACUUUUUUUGAGACAGGGUCUGCUCGGUCCCCCAGGUUGGAGUACAGUGGCACAAUCUUGGCUCACCGCAGCCUGAACUUCCUGGGUUCUGUUGAUCUUCCCACCUCAGCCUCCAAAGUAGCUAGGACUGCAGGUGUGUGCCACUAUACCUGGCUAAUUUUUUUUUUUUUAUUUUUUUUAUUUUUUUUUGGUAGAGACAGGGUUUUGCCAUGUUGCCCAGGCUGGUCUUGAACUCCUGGGCUCAAGUAGUCCUCCCGCCUUGGCCUCCCAAAAUGCUGGGAUUACAGGCAUGAGCCACUGUGCCUAGCACGGAAUAACCUUGUAAACUAAGAGCUUCCAUGCUGUUUAGAAUGGCUGGCUCCUGUUAGCAAAUGCUAAAUAUUCUAAUUUCCACACUAUUUGAUUUUUCUUAGGUUCUAUCAAUAUUAUUAUGCAUUACGAUACUUCAUCUUAAGUCAUUAAUAACUGUCAUUCAUUCAACAAACAUUUACUGAGCACCUACUAUGUGCCAGGUAGUGUGGUGGGUUCUGGAUUGGUGGGAAAGAAUACAAACAUGUUUAGGCCAAAAUCCAUAGCCUCUCAGAGUUCACAGAAUUCUGAUUUGUGCAUUUGCAAUCAUUGUCAAAACAGGCAUUUGCCUCAGGCCCUGUCCAUCUCCAGUGUAACAUAAGGAUUAUACAAGCAAAUGAACUGUAGAAUGCAGCAGGAAACAAAAGAAAACAAGGCAGAUAGUUUCUGAAUAGGAUUAAUGGCACCGCCUCCUGGAGUGGGCUUGAUGAAAGAGCUGGUGUUGCAGGAGUUCUAGCUUCCGCGUAUGUUCACUAAAGGCAGAGAAUCUAGAAUGAAGUCCAAACGAUUUUGAGAACAAUCGCAAAGUGUUGAAGAAUCUCCAAAGAAGAAGCAUGUUCAGUAAGAUUGGAACACUGAAUGACAAUUCUACCUUAGACACUAAAGCUAGUGGUGUGAGCUUGGACAUCUCAUUUACUUUUCUGAGGCCAUUUCCUUAUUAAUAAUUUAUGUGCAGUGAUUAAUCCACCCAAGAAGUUACAAACUGAAGUUAUUCAGGGUGAGCACAAAGUUUGUAGAAAUUUUGAUUUGUUGCCAACAUUUCAAAAUCAGGAGAUUUCUUGGAAAAGUUCAACUCACAAGUUUCUAUUUUUAAGAAAAAAGGCCGGACACAGUGGCUCACACCUGUAAUCCCAGCACUUUGGGAAGCCAAGGCAGGAGAAUCUCUUGAGGCUGAGAGUUUAAGGCCACCCUGAGCAACAUAGCAAGACCCAAUAUCUACAAAAAAUAUAAAAAUUAGCCAGGUGUGGUGGUACACACCUGUAGAACCAGCUACCUGGUAGGCUGGGACAGAAAGAUUGCUUGAGCCCAGGAGUUUAAGGCUGCAGCAAGCUGUGAUUGCACAACUGCACUCCAGCCUGGGUGACAGCCUGGAGACCCUGUGAAAGAAAGACAGAAAGAGAGAGAGAGAAAAACAAAGAGAAGGAGGGAAGGAAGGAAGGAAGGAUGGAAGGAAGGAAGGGAGGGAGGGAGGAAGGGAGAAAGGAAGGAAGGGAGGGAGGGAAAAGAAAGAAGGAGGGGGGAGGGAGAGAGGGAGAAAGGAAAAAAGGAAGGAAGGAAAGAGAGGGAAAGAAGGAGGGAGGGAAGGAGGGAGGAAGGAGGGAAGGAAGGAAGAGAGGGAGGGAGGGAAGGUUGACCCACACCUCCGUGUGGCAGUGUUUACCUGAAGCAGAGCGUUGUGCCCCCUUUUCGAGCUGGCAUGUGCUUUGCAGUCUGUGGCGCACCCUGCCCACUGGCCUCACUCAUCCUCCCACUUCCCUCCUGGCCACUGCAGACAUUUGAGUUUGCGUCUCCUGAACUGGAUGGUUUUUAAGGGCUUCUUUUAGUUGUUGAAAGCUACAGGAACUGUUUCAAGGUAAUAUAAAUUAAAAAUAUGUAUGUUGCUGAGAGAAGAGACAAAUCACCCAUGCAGAAGAAUUUUAAAUCAUUUAUGUAAAUACUCCAUCCUCAGAGAGGUGAAGAAUACCUCCCCAUCCCUUAAGUGUGGCUGCCCAUAGUGACCUCCUUCCAAGAGUAUAACACAGAAAGGUGGGGCGGGGAGAGUAACUUUACAGUGGAAAAACCUGACCAGCACUAUCUCAACCAGCUGAUCAAGGUCAACAUCAACAGUGAUGAGAAGUCAUGUUGCCUGUGUGCAUGGCCUUCCUCCCCUAAACCCCUAUCCCCAGUCAUGAGAAAAACAUCAGACAAAUGCCAAUCAAGGGGCAUUUUACAAUAGGCUUGACCAGUACUCCUCAAAAUUGCCAAGGUAAUCAGAAACAAGGAAAGUCUGAGAUGGACAUAGCUGAGAGACUGCCAUAGUUUAAAGAGACAUGACAAGUAAAUGUAAUGUGGUACCCUGGAUGGGAUCCUGAAACAGUAAAAGGAUAUCACAUAAAAACUGAGAAAAUGUGGCCGGACAUGGUGGCUCACGCCUGUAAUCCGAGGACUUUGGGAGGACGAGGCAGGUAGAUCACUUGAGGUCAGACAUUCGAGACCAGCCUGGCCAACGUGGUGAAACCCCAUAUCUACUAAAAUUACAAAAAUUAGCCGGGCAUGGUGGCACGCCUGUAAUCCCAGCUACUCAGGAGGUU